GAUGAACGCUGGCGGCGUGCUUAACACAUGCAAGUCGAACGAACUGUUCUAGAGGAAGUUUUCGGAUGGAAUCUAGGAUAGUUAGUGGCGAACGGGUGAGUAAUGCAUCGGAACGUGCCCAGUCAUGGGGGAUAACUACGCGAAAGCGUAGCUAAUACCGCAUACGCCCUGAGGGGGAAAGUGGGGGAUCUUCGGACCUCGCGCGAUUGGAGCGGCCGAUGUCGGAUUAGCUAGUUGGUGGGGUAAAAGCCCACCAAGGCGACGAUCCGUAGCGGGUCUGAGAGGAUGAUCCGCCACACUGGGACUGAGACACGGCCCAGACUCCUACGGGAGGCAGCAGUGGGGAAUAUUGGUCAAUGGACGCAAGUCUGAACCAGCCACGUCGCGUGAAGGAAGACGGCCCUACGGGUUGUAAACUUCUUUUAUACGGGAAUAAAGUGCCCCACGCGUGGGGUUUUGCAUGUACCGUAUGAAUAAGGAUCGGCUAACUCCGUGCCAGCAGCCGCGGUAAAU
rnacentral:rRNA from 1 species